rnacentral:tRNA from 1 species
ACUUAUAUAGUAUAUAUAUUAAAUUAUAUUUAACUUCCAAUUAAAAGAACUAAUAAUAGUUUAAGUA